rnacentral:rRNA from 1 species
AUUGAACGCUGGCGGCAUGCCUAACACAUGCAAGUCGAACGGCAGCACGGGAGCUUGCUCCUGGUGGCGAGUGGCGGACGGGUGAGUAAUGCAUAGGAAUCUGCCCAGUAGCGGGGGACAACUUGGGGAAACUCAAGCUAAUACCGCAUACGCCCUACGGGGAAAGCGGGGACCGUUCGGGCCUCGCACUAUUGGAUGAGCCUAUGUCAGAUUAGCUUGUUGGUGGGGUAAAGGCCGUACCAAGGCGACGAUCUGUAGCUGGUCUGAGAGGACGAUCAGCCACACUGGGACUGAGACACGGCCCAGACUCCUACGGGAGGCAGCAGUGGGGAAUAUUGCACAAUGGGCGAAAGCCUGAUGCAGCAAUGCCGCGUGUGUGAAGAAGGCCUGCGGGUUGUAAAAGCACUUUCAGUAGGGAGGAAACAGUAGCCGGUUAAUAUCCGGUUGCCUUGACGUUACCUACAGAAGAAGCACCGACUAACU